CACGUAGGGUGCGAGCGUUGUCCGGAAUUAUUGGGCGUAAAGAGCUCGUAGGCGGCGUGUCGCGUCGGCCGUGAAAACCUGCAGCUUAACUGUGGGCUUGCGGUCGAUACGGGCAUCACUGGAGUUCGGCAGGGGAGACUGGAAUUCCUGGUGUAGCGGUGAAAUGCGCAGAUAUCAGGAAGGAACACCCGGUGGCGAAGGCGGGUCUC
rnacentral:rRNA from 1 species